AUUGAACGCUAGCGGGAUGCCUUACACAUGCAAGUCGAACGGCAGCGCGGACUUCGGUCUGGCGGCGAGUGGCGAACGGGUGAGUAAUGUAUCGGAACGUGCCCAGUAGCGGGGGAUAACUACUCGAAAGAGUAGCUAAUACCGCAUACGCCCUACGGGGAAAGGGGGGAGUCGCAAGACCUCUCACUAUUGGAGCGGCCGAUAUCGGAUUAGCUAGUUGGUGAGGUAAAGGCUCACCAAGGCGACGAUCCGUAGCUGGUUUGAGAGGACGACCAGCCACACUGGGACUGAGACACGGCCCAGACUCCUACGGGAGGCAGCAGUGGGGAAUUUUGGACAAUGGGGGAAACCCUGAUCCAGCCAUUCCGCGUGUGCGAUGAAGGCCUGGUGUAAG
rnacentral:rRNA from 1 species